rnacentral:tRNA from 1 species
AAAUAGAAAGCGAAACCCAUCGCCUUCAGCUUCGACCUGAAUCUUGAUUCUAAUCUCUAUUUU